GCUUCCUGUAGGCAGAGGGAUGAGCGCAGACAAAGCUGGGUGGGGACUCGCUGCUCGGGGCUGCUGCUGACCACCCUCCUCCUGCCUCCGGCCCUCCAUCCCUCCCUCCCUUCAGCUCUCCAUCCAUCCAUCCCUCCGUCCCGUCGCCGCCCGCCCCGCGGGGCAGCACCGCCGCCUCCAGGUAGUGAACGGCCAAGAGGAGCAGAUCUUCCCCUAGAGGCACACAUCACCGGAGAGAUCUGCUUCUGCGCUGGGAGCAGCUCUCUGGCCAGCCCAGCAGUUCACUCGUGUUUGCACCCACAGCCUGUCUGGAGAGUGUGCCUGGCCUGCCCAUGGCUAGCAACAACACUGCUAGCAUAGCACAAGCCCGCAAGCUGGUGGAGCAGCUUAAGAUGGAGGCAAACAUCGACAGGAUAAAGGUGUCAAAAGCAGCAGCAGACCUGAUGGCGUACUGUGAAGCCCACGCCAAGGAGGACCCUCUAUUGACCCCUGUCCCGGCCUCAGAAAACCCCUUUAGAGAGAAGAAGUUCUUCUGUGUUAUCCUGUAAACCCUCAAGGAGCCUGACCAGCACUCAGGCCACCCGGAACACUGAUGUAGAGUUUUUAGGAAUGGGGACAACCUGCUAGUCCGCAGAAUUUAAACAAAAAUAAGUAAAAUACACGGCCUGGAAGCUACAGAGAUGUGCAUGUUUAAAGAACCUGGCUACCUUUGGGGGAAUAAGAUGAUCUGCAUUGCAAGGCAAAAGAUCUGAAGUCUGUAGAGUUGCCUAGAAAGAAAAAAAAAAAAAUGUAAAGAAUAAAUCUGUGUCACUCUUCUGCUCACGAAAUUGUUUGAUUGUUCCAUAUUUAAAAGCACCAGAGCUGUGCUGAGCAAAGUAACUGCUAAGGAUGUGUAUAGCCUUCUUGGAAUGAUAUUGUUGGUUUCUUUCCAAAAUAUUAUUUUUUAUUUAAGUUGUCAGAUAUAUAGCGACAGGUUAGAUGAACUAUGAUGUUACUCAAUGUUUGGUCUUGUGCAUUUUAGUUUCUGGCAGUAGCAUAGCACAGGGAGGGGUUGAGCGGCCCCGCGGUGGGUUAGCGAGGACACGGCAGCUCCUGCCUGCCCCCCGCGUGCUGGCAACUCCAUGUUUCCAGAGAACCCCACUUGCUAACAUUUUGUAUAUGGUAGCUUCAGCUCUGCAAGUAAAAGUGAAUCAUGUGUCGUGGUUAGUGCUUCAUACUCCUGUGACGACGUUCAGUGGUAGUGCAUGAGAGUUUAUCUCUGUUCAUCCGCUCCAGACUUUUCUUUUCUAUCAUUUGACACCACGUGCUGGUGGAAAAAGCUGUAGGGAGGAAACCAAGGCGAUUCUGAAAGCAAAGGCAACUCCUGCAAUGCCUUAGACGUGCCUGAAAUACCUCCUGCGUUAGGGUACCCCUGGGCGUUGGGGGUAGCUAGAAAUCCGAAAAUCAAAGUCGACCACUUCUUUCCGGGUCUUUCCUCUUUUCCUACACCUCUGUGCCUCUGCCCUCCUCCUUUGUUGUGUCCUGCUCUUUUGGCUUCUCAGCAGCAUCUCCUCUCCUUGGGGCGGGAUCGGGAUGCUGCCCCAUGGUGGGAUGUUGGCCCACAGUGGGAUGUUUCUUCUCCUUCCCACACACUCCGCUGCUGCCCCACUGCGAUGGGUAGGGAUGGGGGAGCAGCCUGGGGAGCGUGGGGCCACCCCUUCACGGAGGUGCCUGAUACCUUGUUUACACGCAGCCUGAAAUCCAUAUCAGGCUGGAGAAUUAUUCCCAGGUCCGGUUCAUUCGCCUCCAGCGUUCUGGGGACACACGCCACCUUUUUUGGCUCCGCUUUGGGUUUCAUACUUUUGCGGACGUGGCUUGCCUCUCCUUUCCGCUGCUAAACAGCUCACGGCUCUCCCCACUCAUCUACACUCCUAGGAAACUUUGGGAAUCACAACUUGGGGAUUUGCAUACAAAAUUAGGUGGGUGCCACAUAGGGGUUUUGGGGGUCUGCAGUGACCUGGCUAAACUGUAGUUCUGAAUCAGGUAUCAGCUUAAAAAUCCCUGUGGAUCCAAGAGGGCAAUAGUCUUUAUGUACCUUUCGGUGAAUCUUUCUAGCCCGUAACAAGUGCAUUUUUGGUUUUUCUACCUUUUCAUACUCUUUUUCUAGUCUUCUACAGAGAAGACCAGUUUUUCUUACACUAGGCUCCAAACUUUUGGCAUCUGGGAACAUUUAUAGGACAUGAGUAGCCUAGAUGGUCCCAGUCCUCCCACCGUGGCUUUCAGCCCCCCCCAACCUCCCCGUUUUGAUCUUUUUACUACAGCUUACAGCUUUAGGAUGAAGGAUGGAUGAAGUAAUUUGUUCUGCAGCUGGUUUCACUCUUGGUGUUGCAAGGCAGAUGUGUAAAUACCCCGUCCCGGGUUUGUCUUUUGUUUUUAAUGCUGAUUUACUGUCACAGAGAGUGAAGCGCAGCUGGUCUGACCCGGGGCUCACACCCCAACCCUUCUCCAAUGCUGUCACGAAGUGGUUUGUAAUAAUUUUUUUAACGACUUACGUAUUUUACAACUCAAAUUCUUAAUAUAUAAAUGAAGAAAUAAAGAUGCAUGAAGGGUGUCGGGGGGGAGGGGGGAGUGUUGAAUUAGCCUAAACUACUCAUUGAAGGUGUUUUACAUUGCUGGUCUUUAUUUCAUGUCGGUAGUGGUGUUGACAUUGGUGUGCUGCCAGGUAUUUCACCCCAGUAUUUAUAUUUGCACAGAUACGCCUUUGUUAGCCAAGUAGAGAUCGCCUGCCAAGAUCGUUUCCCCCUUCGCAACAGAAAUACCAGCCAUCUCUCCAUCCCGAUGCUGUAUUUCCAGCAUGGUUUCAAAUGACAUCCAACUCUAGCCCCAGGCUUUUAAAGAAAAAAUAUCUGGAGUACUGGAAAAGGACUUUUUAUUUUCUGCCAAGGUUGCUGGUGGCGGGGCCAAGUCCGUCCCUCUGGUGCCAACCUGCCGCUGCCAGGCUUUUGGGGAGGGGGUAGUGGUAACCGAAAGCCAGUGCGGGGAGGUUGGCGUUGUGAUGUAGCGCAUCCCCAUCCCGUGUGGUCUGUGUACUCGUUGGAAAUAAAAUUUUGGAUUUGUUUCAA
ensembl:lncRNA